rnacentral:lncRNA from 1 species
AUGCCACCACCUGUGGCAAUGCCACCAGCCCAGGGGAUGCCACUGGCCCCAGGGAUGUCACCAGCUCCUGGGUUGCCACCACAACUGGUGCCCACCGUGCUGCCACCAGCUCCGGGGAUGCCACCAACCAUGGGAAUGCCACCAACCAUGGGGAUGCCACCUCCAUCCGGGAUGCCACCUCCAUCCGGGAUGCCACCACUAUCUGGGAUGCCACCAGCUCCAGGGAUGGCACCGACCAUGGGGAUGCCACCAGGUGUAGGGAUGCCACCAGCCCAAGGGAUGCCACCACCGGCUCCAGGGAUGCCACCAGCUGUGGGGAUGCCACCACCACCAUCUGGGAUGCCACCAACCCAAGGGAUGCCACCACAACCAUCUGAGAUGCCACCAGCCCCGGGGAUGCCAUCGGCUCAAGGGAUGCCACCACCACCACCAUUUGGGAUGCCACCAGCUCCGGGGAUGCCACCAACCAUGGGGAUGCCACAGGUCCCAGGGAUGCCACCACCAUCUGAGAUGCCACCAGCUCAAGGGAUGCCACCGACCAUGGCAAUGCCACCAACCAUGGGGAUGCCACCACCCUCGGGGGUGCCACCACCUGGGAUGCCACCACCACCAUCUGAGAUGCCACCAGCUCAAGGGAUGCCACCGCCCAUGAUGGGGAUGCCACCGGCCCCAGGGAUGCCCCCACCAUCUGAGAUGCCACCAGCUCAAGGGAUGCCACCAACCACGGGGAUGCCACCACCCUCGGGGGUGCCACCACCUGGGAUGCCACCAACCACGGGGAUGCCACCACCCUCGGGGGUGCCACCACCUGGGAUGCCACCACCAUCUGGGAUGCCACCACCAUCUGGGAUGCCACCACCUGGGAUGCCACCACCAUCUGGGAUGCCACCACCCUCGGGGGUGCCACCGCCUGGGAUGCCCCAAGCAUCUGAGAUGCCACCAGCCUCUGGAGUGCCACCACCUGGGAUGCCACCACCACCAUCAUCUGAGAUGCCACCAACCCUGGGGAUGCCACCCACCCUGGGGAUGCCACCCACCCAAGGGAUGCCACCACCCCUCACCCUCCCAGCGUGUCCCCCCUCUGAAGCCCCCUCCCCUCCCCCCGACGCUGCCACCAACCCUCCAGACCCCCUCCCCUUCCUCCGCGUCCCUGAGGCCACCGUUGUCCCCGAGGCCACCGGGGCCAAACCCGACCGGGGGCGCCAACGUCGAGCUUCCUGCCCGCGCCCCGAGAGGGUUCCUCGCUUCCAACUCAUCGUUCUCCAGGUCAACCAUGGGGACAAGGACAAGGGGGGGGACGGGGACAUCUCGGGGUGGGGGGGUUGGGGACACCAGAUGGGGGACACCCCAUAA